rnacentral:rRNA from 1 species
GUAGCUUGCUACCUAACCUAGCGGCGGACGGGUGAGUAAUGCUUAGGAAUCUGCCUAUUAGUGGGGGACAACAUUCCGAAAGGAAUGCUAAUACCGCAUACGUCCUACGGGAGAAAGCAGGGGACCUUCGGGCCUUGCGCUAAUAGAUGAGCCUAAGUCGGAUUAGCUAGUUGGUGGGGUAAAGGCCUACCAAGGCGACGAUCUGUAGCGGGUCUGAGAGGAUGAUCCGCCACACUGGGACUGAGACACGGCCCAGACUCCUACGGGAGGCAGCAGUGGGGAAUAUUGGACAAUGGGGGGAACCCUGAUCCAGCCAUGCCGCGUGUGUGAAGAAGGCCUUUUGGUUGUAAAGCACUUUAAGCGAGGAGGAGGCUACUAGUAUUAAUACUACUGGAUAGUGGACGUUACUCGCAGAAUAAGCACCGGCUAACUCUGUGCCAGCAGCCGCGGUAAUACAGAGGGUGCGAGCGUUAAUCGGAUUUACUGGGCGUAAAGCGUGCGUAGGCGGCUGAUUAAGUCGGAUGUGAAAUCCCUGAGCUUAACUUAGGAAUUGCAUUCGAUACUGGUCAGCUAGAGUAUGGGAGAGGAUGGUAGAAUUCCAGGUGUAGCGGUGAAAUGCGUAGAGAUCUGGAGGAAUACCGAUGGCGAAGGCAGCCAUCUGGCCUAAUACUGACGCUGAGGUACGAAAGCAUGGGGAGCAAACAGGAUUAGAUACCCUGGUAGUCCAUGCCGU